rnacentral:rRNA from 1 species
AUUGAACGCUGGCGGCAGGCCUAACACAUGCAAGUCGAACGAGUGGCGGACGGGUGAGUAAUGUCUGGGAAACUGCCUGAUGGAGGGGGAAAACACCUGAAAACGGUGGCUAAAACCGAAUACAUUCGGUUGUGCCAAGAUGGGAUUAGCUAGUAGGUGGGGUAAAGGCUCACCUAGGCGACGAUCCCUAGCUGGUCUGAGAGGAUGACCAGCCACACUGGAACUGAGACACGGUCCAGACUCCUACGGGAGGCAGCAGUGGGGAAUAUUGCACAAUGGGCGCAAGCCUGAUGCAGCCAUGCCGCGUGUAUGAAGAAGGCCUUCGGGUUGUAAAGUACUUUCAGCGGGGAGGCGUUACCCGCAGAAGAAGCACCGGCUAACUCCGUGCCAGCAGCCGCGGUAAUUC